GACGAACGCUGGCGGCGUGCUUAACACAUGCAAGUCGAACGGAAAGGCCCUGCUUUUGUUGGGUUCUCGAGUGGCGAACGGGUGAGUAACACGUGAGUAACCUGCCCUUGACUUUUGUAUAACUUCACGAAACUGGGGCUCAUACCGGAUAGGAGCUCCUUCUGCAUGGUGGGGGUUGGAAAGUUUCGGCGGUUGGGGAUGGACUCGCGGCUUCUCAGCUUGUUGGUGGGGUAGUGGCUUACCAAGGCUUUGACGGGUAGCCGGCCUGAGAGGGUGACCGGCAACAUUGGGACUGAGAUACGGACCAGACUCGUACGGGAGGCAGCAGUGGGGAAUAUUGCACAAUGGGCGGAAGCCUGAUGCAGCAACGCCGCGUGCGGGAUGACGGCCUUCGGGUUGUAAACCGCUUUCGCCUGUGACGAGGCGUGAGUGACGGUAAUGGGUAAAGAAGCACCGGCUAACUACGUG
rnacentral:rRNA from 1 species